rnacentral:ncRNA from 1 species
GCAGGACAAUCCGAAAACCUGUAGAAAAGAGUAGGAA